rnacentral:rRNA from 1 species
ACUUAAAUUGAAGAGUUUGAUCAUGGCUCAGAUUGAACGCUGGCGGCAGGCCUAACACAUGCAAGUCGAGCGGUAACACAGAGAGCUUGCUCUCGGGUGACGAGCGGCGGACGGGUGAGUAAUGUCUGGGAAACUGCCUGAUGGAGGGGGAUAACUACUGGAAACGGUAGCUAAUACCGCAUAACGUCGCAAGACCAAAGUGGGGGACCUUCGGGCCUCAUGCCAUCAGAUGUGCCCAGAUGGGAUUAGCUAGUAGGUGGGGUAAUGGCUCACCUAGGCGACGAUCCCUAGCUGGUCUGAGAGGAUGACCAGCCACACUGGAACUGAGACACGGUCCAGACUCCUACGGGAGGCAGCAGUGGGGAAUAUUGCACAAUGGGCGCAAGCCUGAUGCAGCCAUGCCGCGUGUAUGAAGAAGGCCUUCGGGUUGUAAAGUACUUUCAGCGAGGAGGAAGGCAUUAAGGUUAAUAACCUUGGUGAUUGACGUUACUCGCAGAAGAAGCACCGGCUAACUCCGUGCCAGCAGCCGCGGUAAUACGGAGGGUGCAAGCGUUAAUCGGAAUUACUGGGCGUAAAGCGCACGCAGGCGGUCUGUCAAGUCGGAUGUGAAAUCCCCGGGCUCAACCUGGGAACUGCAUUCGAAACUGGCAGGCUAGAGUCUUGUAGAGGGGGGUAGAAUUCCAGGUGUAGCGGUGAAAUGCGUAGAGAUCUGGAGGAAUACCGGUGGCGAAGGCGGCCCCCUGGACAAAGACUGACGCUCAGGUGCGAAAGCGUGGGGAGCAAACAGGAUUAGAUACCCUGGUAGUCCACGCCGUAAACGAUGUCGACUUGGAGGUUGUGCCCUUGAGGCGUGGCUUCCGGAGCUAACGCGUUAAGUCGACCGCCUGGGGAGUACGGCCGCAAGGUUAAAACUCAAAUGAAUUGACGGGGGCCCGCACAAGCGGUGGAGCAUGUGGUUUAAUUCGAUGCAACGCGAAGAACCUUACCUACUCUUGACAUCCAGAGAACUUAGCAGAGAUGCUUUGGUGCCUUCGGGAACUCUGAGACAGGUGCUGCAUGGCUGUCGUCAGCUCGUGUUGUGAAAUGUUGGGUUAAGUCCCGCAACGAGCGCAACCCUUAUCCUUUGUUGCCAGCGGUCCGGCCGGGAACUCAAAGGAGACUGCCAGUGAUAAACUGGAGGAAGGUGGGGAUGACGUCAAGUCAUCAUGGCCCUUACGAGUAGGGCUACACACGUGCUACAAUGGCAUAUACAAAGAGAAGCGACCUCGCGAGAGCAAGCGGACCUCAUAAAGUAUGUCGUAGUCCGGAUUGGAGUCUGCAACUCGACUCCAUGAAGUCGGAAUCGCUAGUAAUCGUAGAUCAGAAUGCUACGGUGAAUACGUUCCCGGGCCUUGUACACACCGCCCGUCACACCAUGGGAGUGGGUUGCAAAAGAAGUAGGUAGCUUAACCUUCGGGAGGGCGCUUACCACUUUGUGAUUCAUGACUGGGGUGAAGUCGUAACAAGGUAACCGUAGGGGAACCUGCGGUUGGAUCACCUCCUUACCUUAAAGAA